ensembl:snRNA LOC120094409 U6 spliceosomal RNA
GUGCUCAUUUAGCAGCACAGAUGCUAAAAUUGGGAUGAUACAGAGAAGGGUAUUGUAGUCCCUGUGCAAGGAUGACACAAAAAUUCAUGAAGUAUUUCCUAAUUUU